rnacentral:rRNA from 1 species
UACAGAGGGUGCAAGCGUUAAUCGGAAUUACUGGGCGUAAAGCGCGCGUAGGUGGUUUGUUAAGUUGAAUGUGAAAUCCCCGGGCUCAACCUGGGAACUGCAUCCGAAACUGGCAAGCUAGAGUAGGGCAGAGGGUGGUGGAAUUUCCUGUGUAGCGGUGAAAUGCGUAGAUAUAGGAAGGAACACCAGUGGCGAAGGCGACCACCUGGACUGAUACUGACACUGAGGUGCGAAAGCGUGGGGAGCAAACAGG